GUAGGGUGCGAGCGUUAAUCGGAAUUACUGGGCGUAAAGCGUGCGCAGGCGGUUUUGUAAGCCAGAUGUGAAAUCCCCGGGCUCAACCUGGGAAUGGCAUUUGGGACUGCAAGGCUUGAGUGCGGCAGAGGAGACUGGAAUUCCUGGUGUAGCAGUGAAAUGCGUAGAUAUCAGGAGGAAUACCGAUGGCGAAGGCAGGUCUCUGGGCUGACACUGACGCUCAUGCACGAAAGCGUGGGGAGCAAACAGGAUUAGAUACCCUGGUAGUCCACGCCCUAAACGAUGUCGACUGGUUGUUGGGGGUUUGACACUCUCAGUAACGAAGCUAACGCGUGAAGUCGACCGCCUGGGGAGUACGGCCGCAAGGUUAAA
rnacentral:rRNA from 1 species